rnacentral:misc_RNA from 1 species
GAACCCGAAUAGCACUCCCCACUCGAGCCCUUCACCAGUGGUCUUGAGCCCAUCCGCCGCGGACUUCUUCCUCAUCUCAUCCAAUAUAAACAACACGCACGCACUUGACAUAUUACCGUACUCACUUAGCACGUGCCUCGUGGCCCGUAGCUUCUCUUCCUUAAGGCCCAACUUUAAUUCCACCUGAUCCAAAAUAGCAGGCCCACCAGGAUGUGCAAUCCAAAACAAAGAGUUCCAAUCAGAGAUGCCCAAGGGUUGGAAUGCUUCCGCCAAACUCUUUUCAAUGUUCUUGGAGAUGAGCCCAGGAACAUCCUUGAGGAGGUGAAAUGUAAGGCCCACUUCACGGAGGUGUCCGUCAAUGGCACCGUCACUAUCGGGGAGAAUGGUUUGGGCCGCUGAGACCAACUCGAACAACGGUUUCUCAACCUCUGGAAUUGGGUCUGACCCAACUAUAAUAGCA